UGCUCAUCCAGAGGGGUGGAGGGACCGGCCCUACGAAGCCCCGGCAACCAUCUCGGUUUGCGCGACUCGCGAUCCUGCGAGGCGGCCGAGGCAGGUGCCAACUCCGGCCUGGAACCAGAUCGGUUCGCCAGGGAAGAUGAGGG
rnacentral:ncRNA from 1 species